GGACUCUGUUGCACAAAUCCCGCAGAAUACGAAGCACAAUUACACAUGAUUUUAGUCCAUUUGCCCUGGCCUCCUUCCUUCUUCUCUGCUUCAUCUCGAAUGAGAGGGGACGUAAGUAUCACCUUCAAGGUUAGCUUGGGCUCCUUUGUGUUACGAAUAAUAAUAGCUGCCUCAUUUACAUGCUCCUCCACGAGAUACUUCUCUUCUGUAAGUUUCUGAAUUUGAAUGGGGAGAUUGUCUUUGACUAUACAUAGUAAGGUCUUUGUGGGUUUUUCUUUGCACAUGAGAACCAGCUCCAAAUCCAUAUCAUCUUUUAUCAGCAAACCCUUUGCAACCAAGCCAAUUCUCAUAACACCACACAAGGUCCGACCACUUUGAUCCUUGGCAUUGCUUUCUGCAGCUUCCUCUUUUGCUUCCACAUCACCCUCACAUUUUACAGACUUGUUCUUUUCAUCCAUCCAGUCAGACACAUGUUUAAGGGCACAUUCUACUGUUGAUACCAUGUUCUGGACAGCUUCAAGUUCUUCUGGAGAUGGAUAAAUGGUUGAAUGUUUCACCAUAACAUGGCGGUCAUCGUUAGCAAAAGAUCGGAUAGAUCUCAUGAUUUGUUACUGUUUCAACUCUCUCUUUCUUUCUCCUUUUCCCUCCUCCUUGGUGUCUUUGAUAAGAGCUGUUUUGCUUGACAGAACCUCUUCAUAAGCCUCUCAGUCCCUUGACAGCUCAAGAGUUCAUAGAGCUAAGAUGCUGUAAGAGUCACUUUCUGUAGUUCACCCCGCUCGCCGCCGGCCCCGGCGCAGCCCCGGCCCCGGCCCGGCUCCGCGGCCCCGUCC
rnacentral:lncRNA from 1 species